rnacentral:precursor_RNA from 13 species
ACCACUUGGUGUGACAUACAGCAUGGCGUUUCGAGGUCACAUGUGGUGCAGCAUGAUUCAGGAACAUGCCGCGCAGCAUGUGACCUUCCUACACCGUGCUGUGCCUCUCUGGCCAGAGAUA